GGAGCUGUGUCCUUCGGGGUGACUUGUCGCUGACGAGUGGCGGACGGGUGAGUAAUACUUAGGAAUCUGCCCAGUAGUGGGGGACAACACGGGGAAACUCGUGCUAAUACCGCAUACGCCUUACGAGGGAAAGUGGGGGAUCUUCGGACCUCACGCUAUUGGAUGAGCCUAAGUCGGAUUAGCUUGUUGGUGAGGUAAAGGCUCACCAAGGCGACAAUCCGUAGCUGGUCUGAGAGGACGAUCAGCCACACUGGGACUGAGACACGGCCCAGACUCCUACGGGAGGCAGCAGUGGGGAAUAUUGGACAAUGGGGGCAACCCUGAUCCAGCAAUACCGCGUGUGUGAAGAAGGCCUGCGGGUUGUAAAGCACUUUCAGUAGAGAAGAAAAACCCAGGGGUUAAUACCCUCAGGGCUUGACGUAACCUACAGAAGAAGCACCGGCUAACUCCGUGCCAGCAGCCGCGGUAAUACGGAGGGUGCAAGCGUUAAUCGGAAUUACUGGGCGUAAAGCGCGCGUAGGCGGUCUGGUCAGUCGGAUGUGAAAGCCCCGGGCUUAACCUGGGAAUUGCAUUCGAUACUGCCAGGCUAGAAUGUUGGAGAGGGAAGUGGAAUUUCCGGUGUAGCGGUGAAAUGCGUAGAGAUCGGAAGGAACACCAGUGGCGAAGGCGGCUUCCUGGCCAAACAUUGACGCUGAGGUGCGAAAGCGUGGGUAGCGAACAGGAUUAGAUACCCUGGUAGUCCACGCCGUAAACGAUGAGAACUAGAUGUCGGGAGGGCUUAGCCUCUCGGUGUCGCAGCUAACGCGUUAAGUUCUCCGCCUGGGGAGUACGGUGGCAACACUAAAACUCAAAGGAAUUGA
rnacentral:rRNA from 1 species